rnacentral:rRNA from 1 species
GAUGAACGCUGGCGGCGUGCCUAAUACAUGCAAGUCGAGCGAACGGACGAGAAGCUUGCUUCUCUGAUGUUAGCGGCGGACGGGUGAGUAACACGUGGAUAACCUACCUAUAAGACUGGGAUAACUUCGGGAAACCGGAGCUAAUACCGGAUAAUAUUUUGAACCGCAUGGUUCAAAAGUGAAAGACGGUCUUGCUGUCACUUAUAGAUGGAUCCGCGCUGCAUUAGCUAGUUGGUAAGGUAACGGCUUACCAAGGCAACGAUGCAUAGCCGACCUGAGAGGGUGAUCGGCCACACUGGAACUGAGACACGGUCCAGACUCCUACGGGAGGCAGCAGUAGGGAAUCUUCCGCAAUGGGCGAAAGCCUGACGGAGCAACGCCGCGUGAGUGAUGAAGGUCUUCGGAUCGUAAAACUCUGUUAUUAGGGAAGAACAUAUGUGUAAGUAACUGUGCACAUCUUGACGGUACCUAAUCAGAAAGCCACGGCUAACUACGUGCCAGCAGCCGCGGUAAUACGUAGGUGGCAAGCGUUAUCCGGAAUUAUUGGGCGUAAAGCGCGCGUAGGCGGUUUUUUAAGUCUGAUGUGAAAGCCCACGGCUCAACCGUGGAGGGUCAUUGGAAACUGGAAAACUUGAGUGCAGAAGAGGAAAGUGGAAUUCCAUGUGUAGCGGUGAAAUGCGCAGAGAUAUGGAGGAACACCAGUGGCGAAGGCGACUUUCUGGUCUGUAACUGACGCUGAUGUGCGAAAGCGUGGGGAUCAAACAGGAUUAGAUACCCUGGUAGUCCACGCCGUAAACGAUGAGUGCUAAGUGUUAGGGGGUUUCCGCCCCUUAGUGCUGCAGCUAACGCAUUAAGCACUCCGCCUGGGGAGUACGACCGCAAGGUUGAAACUCAAAGGAAUUGACGGGGACCCGCACAAGCGGUGGAGCAUGUGGUUUAAUUCGAAGCAACGCGAAGAUCCUUACCAAAUCUUGACAUCCUUUGACAACUCUAGAGAUAGAGCUUUCCCCUUCGGGGGACAAAGUGACAGGUGGUGCAUGGUUGUCGUCAGCUCGUGUCGUGAGAUGUUGGGUUAAGUCCCGCAACGAGCGCAACCCUUAAGCUUAGUUGCCAUCAUUAAGUUGGGCACUCUAAGUUGACUGCCGGUGACAAACCGGAGGAAGGUGGGGAUGACGUCAAAUCAUCAUGCCCCUUAUGAUUUGGGCUACACACGUGCUACAAUGGACAAUACAAAGGGCAGCGAAACCGCGAGGUCAAGCAAAUCCCAUAAAGUUGUUCUCAGUUCGGAUUGUAGUCUGCAACUCGACUACAUGAAGCUGGAAUCGCUAGUAAUCGUAGAUCAGCAUGCUACGGUGAAUACGUUCCCGGGUCU